GAUGAACGCUGGCGGCGUGCCUAACACAUGCCAGUCGAGCGAACAGAUGAGGAGCUUGCUCCUCUGACGUUAGCGGCGGACGGGUGAGUAACACGUGGAUAACCUACCUCUAAGACUGGGAUAACUUCGGGAAACCGGAGCUAAUACCGGAUAAUAUAUUGAACCGCAUGGUUCAAUAGUGAAAGACGGUUUUGCUGUCACUUAUAGAUGGAUCUCUGCCGCAUUAGCUAGUUGGUACGGGAACGGCUUACCAAGGCAACGAUGCGUAGCCGAACGGAGAGGGGGGUAGGCCGCACGGGAACGUGGACGGCGACCCUGCGACUAAGGGAGGCAGCAGUAGGGAAUGGGCGGCAAUGGGCGAAAGCCUGACGCAGCGACGCCGCGUGAGAUAUGAAGACGUUCGGAGCGUAAAGCCCGGUUAUUGGGUAAGAACAAAUGUGUGUGGAGAUAAACCGGUCGUGACGGUACCUGAACAAAAAGCCCCGGCUAACUACGUG
rnacentral:rRNA from 1 species